rnacentral:rRNA from 1 species
CAGCAGCCGCGGGAAUACGUAGGGUGCAAGCGUUAAUCGGAAUUACUGGGCGUAAAGCGUGCGCAGGCGGUUUUGUAAGACAGAGGUGAAAUCCCCGGGCUCAACCUGGGAACUGCCUUUGUGACUGCAAGGCUAGAGUACGGCAGAGGGGGAUGGAAUUCCGCGUGUAGCAGUGAAAUGCGUAGAUAUGCGGAGGAACACCGAUGGCGAAGGCAAUCCCCUGGGCCUGUACUGACGCUCAUGCACGAAAGCGUGGGGAGCAAACAGGAUUAGAUACCCGUGUAGUCCCUGUCUCUUAUAC